CAGAGGGUGCGAGCGUUAAUCGGAAUUACUGGGCGUAAAGCGUGCGUAGACGGCUAUCUAAGUCGGGUGUGAAAGCCCCGGGCUCAACCUGGGAAUUGCAUUCGAGACUGAAUAGCUAGGGUGCGGUAGAGGGAAGCGGAAUUUCCGGUGUAGCGGUGAAAUGCGUAGAUAUCGGAAGGAACAUCAGUGGCGAAAGCGGCUUCCUGGACCAGCACCGACGUUCAGGCACGAAAGCGUGGGGAGCAAACAGGAUUAGAUACCCUGGUAGUCCACGCCAUAAACGAUGAGGACUAGACGUUGGAGGGUUAAGCCUUUCAGUGUCGUAGCUAACGCGCUAAGUCCUCCGCCUGGGGAGUACGGCCGCAAGGUUG
rnacentral:rRNA from 1 species